AGCUUUGCGCAGUGGCAGUAUUGUAGCCAAUGAGGUUUAUCCGAGGCGCGAUUAUUGCUAAUUGAAGACUGAAUAUAAAAAAUAA
rnacentral:snRNA from 11 species